UACGGGGGGAGCAAGCGUUGUUCGGAUUUACUGGGCGUAAAGGGCGCGUAGGCGGCCCUGUCAGUCGGGUGUGAAAGCCCGGGGCUCAACCCCGGAACGGCACCCGAGACGGCGGGGCUGGAGACCGGGAGAGGAGGGUGGAAUAGCCAGUGUAGAGGUGAAAUUCGUAGAUAUUGGCUGGAACACCGGUGGCGAAAGCGGCUCUCUGGCCCGGUUCUGACGCUGAGGCGCGAAAGCGUGGGGAGCAAACAGG
rnacentral:rRNA from 1 species